GAGUUUGAUCAUGGCUCAGAUUGAACGCUGGCGGAAUGCUUUACACAUGCAAGUCGAACGGCAGCACGGGAGCUUGCUCCUGGUGGCGAGUGGCGAACGGGUGAGUAAUACAUAGGAACAUACCCAGUAAUGGGGGAUAACGCCGAGAAAUCGGUGCUAAUACCGCAUACGCCCUACGGGGGAAAGCGGGGGAUCUUCGGACCUCGCGUUAUUGGACUGGCCUAUGUCUGAUUAGCUAGUUGGUGAGGUAAAGGCUCACCAAGGCGACGAUCAGUAGCUGGUCUGAGAGGAUGAUCAGCCACACUGGAACUGAGACACGGUCCAGACUCCUACGGGAGGCAGCAGUGGGGAAUUUUGGACAAUGGGCGAAAGCCUGAUCCAGCCAUUCCGCGUGAGUGAAGAAGGCCUUCGGGUUGUAAAGCUCUUUCGGCAGGAACGAAAUGGUUGCGGUUAAUAACCGCGACUUCUGACGGUACCUGAAGAAGAAGCACCGGCUAACUACGUGCCAGCAGCCGCGGUAAUACGUAGGGUGCGAGCGUUAAUCGGAAUUACUGGGCGUAAAGCGUGCGCAGGCGGUUUUGUAAGUCAGAUGUGAAAGCCCCGGGCUUAACCUGGGAAUGGCGUUUGA
rnacentral:rRNA from 1 species